UCUUCAAGGGUGAUGAAAUAUUCCUCUCCUUUACUGUUCUGUUACUUCAGCAGCCGUUUUCUCUUUUUCAGAAGUGCAUCUCGAAGAGCCAGCUAAAUAGAAAACAGGAGGGGAAUAUUCAGGGAAAACAAACCGUUAUCACAUCCUUCCUAACCUACACCUGACUUGGCAACUGGGCUUAGUUCUCAAUGCAUAUUGAAGCAGAGACUGACAAAAGGAUUCUUCACUGUGACCAUCUCUGAAUUACCUCCUCAUGACAGGGUUCACAAGAAGCCAUCUCACCCAAAGGCCUUUCCAGCAAUUAAACCAUCAAAAUCAGCAGCAAUGACUGAGGGCACAGGAUAGACAGCACUUUGCCUGCAUUUUAAGUUUACUCUCAGAAUGGCCCAUCUAUUUUCAACAUUAAACAUUACCUGUUUUUCCCUGAAA